UGUCGGACGCGAGACCUGACCACGUUUAUCAGCUCCGCAUUUUUUCAUAAUUUAAGCCCUUAAAUUGCAACACUUCUGGAAAAAUUUUGUUCGCCGAUGCUGGGAUCAAGUUCGGUCACCGAUUAACAAAAAUGAAAAAAAAUCCUAGGAGUCAAAUUUUGCCGAGGAGACCCAGCAACGCGGAAUAUAUAACCACUGCUCAUCCCCUGUUUGUUAAAAUAAAAAGAGAACCUUUUGAAGAACACCUUAGACAUCAGCGGUAUCGACAUCAGCCCUGCUUUGUGGAUAAUGUGCUUCAUCAAUUAGGUAGAAUGCGAUUUUAUUAGGAAAAUAAUUUUUAGAUCGAUCUAUAAAUUUAUAUUAUAAAUUAUUAUAUAAGAUAUUCUGAUAAAUUUGUCAAAUAAAAUUCACUUAUAUACUUGAUUUAUAUAAAAUUUGGUGAAAUGAGUUUUUCAAACAAUAUGGAAAUUUAGUAAAAAGUUGGUUGUUGGUUCCAUUAAG